AUGCCUAGAGACGUCAUCGACAAUCGAGUUGAAACAAAACUGCAGGUGGUGGAUGCUUUUAAGGCGGCCUCCUUCCUACCGCCAAACCUGCAGUCAUUCUUCUUCAUGCCGGCUCAUGGUACUGCUGGCGGUUUGCUAAUUGCCUGGGAUCAGUCUUUGUUGUCAGCAUCCGAGAUAUACAAGCAUAGAUUCUGUAUUUUAGUCCGUUUCGGUUCUACCAGUGACAACACUUCCUUUCACCUCACAACUGUCUAUGCACCCUGCGAGGAUUCAGACCGACCAGAAUUAUUCGCUGUGAUGGAACAAGUUGCCAUGUUGAAUGCUGGUCCAUGGAUUAUUUUAGGGGAUUUCAACAUGUACAGGCAUCAAGAAGAAAAGUCCCGUGGCAGGAAGAACUUGAUUCUAAUGGACAGAUUUAAUGAAUGGAUCAGGGAUGCUGCUAUGGAUGACAUUGAUAUUCUGAAUCGCUCGUUCACUUGGUCAAACAAGAGAAGAAACCCAACUCUCAUCAAGCUGGACCGUGUCCUGGUUAAUGCUGAGUGGAACCUUGGUUUUUUAAACACCGAAGAUUCUGUUGUUACAGCCACCACUUCGGAUCAUGCGCCGAUCUUGGUACAUUUCAACACUGACAGAGUGACUAGCAAGCUUUUCAGGUUUGAAAAUCAUUGGCUACAAUGCUCUGAGCUGAGACAAAUCAUUUCUAAUGGUUUGACCAGAGGAACAAGGCACUUCUCUUCGGCUGCCUCUCUCCUUAACUUCAAACUCAGGCGAACACGUGCAGCAGUACGCAAAUGCACAAAAUCCAGAGCAGCUCUGCAAGUACUACUACAAAAUUGUAAGCAUGUGGUCUCCUUCUUUGAUGUUGUAGAGGAAAAGAGGGCUCUUACAGCUUUGGAAUUAUCCAUGAGAAAGUUUGACAUUGAGAAGGCACAGCAGAUCGUCUAUUGGCAGACGGACGCUUGGAGGCGCCGUGCAAAAAUUAAAGGAUGUCUACUGGGCGAUGAAAACACUGCUUUCUUCCAUGCUGCGGCCAACUGUCAUCAUAGAAAGAACAAGAUUAAGCUUCUGAUAAACAAUGGUGUUGAGCAUUUUGACAUCAAGAACAAGCUUAUGAUUGCUACGGACUUCUUUCGGAGUAUUUUUGGACAAUCAUCGCCCUCACUGCCAACAGUGGAUAUCAACUCCCUGUAUGACCGAUCCGACCUAUAUGCUUUAGAGGAACCUUUCACCUGGGCCGAGAUUGUUUCAGCUAUCGACAAAUCACCAAACAACAGAAGCCCUGGCCUGGAUGGAUACACCAAUGAAUUCUUCAAAUCCUUUCGAAAUGAGCUCAAGGAUGACCUGCUCCUUUUCUUCAAUGAUUUUUAUAACUGCAGGGCUGAUCUUCAAGGUGUCAACACAGCCAAUAUUGUUCUCAUCCCAAAGACAGACAACCCGGUGGACAUCAAGAAUUUCUGA
rnacentral:rRNA from 1 species